GCCUUCGUGGUGCAGUGGUCAGCACGCUGGGCGCGUAUUCCAGAGGUCCGUGGUUCGAUUCCCGGCGAAGGCG
rnacentral:tRNA from 1 species